UCCUUUCAAACAUCACCAUCUACUGACCCCCACUCUUACUCCUACUCUUAGAAGGUACCAAGCACCACCAGGCUGCUAAUGUUUAAAAGAACACAGAAAAAGACAAUAUGCAUCACGCCUGGGCAUAGCACCUGACAGCCUUUAUAAGUGGUGCUCCAUGAAGGCAUCACUUCCUUAAAGAGAAUCACCAACUCACAGAGAAACAAGAAGAAUAAAGACAGAAACCUACCAGCUGCAUGCCUAAGCUUCCAAAUCCUUCCAAAACAUGUAUCAUCUAAAUACGAGAAAAAGAUAGGAUGCCAAAGACCCAAAGGAGGUAUUUUCAUUGAUCACACCUCAGUGGAGUAGAGUUAUAGACACCACCAAAUAUUGAGUUGCUCCACACAGACCAGAACAGUGAUGGCAAGACAUUAAGUCGUAAAUUUUUACAUAGGCCAGAAUGGUGGAGGGCCCGAGAAACAAAUCCACUAAAGCACCAAGUGCUGAAGCAAGGAUCUUUGGCC
rnacentral:lncRNA from 1 species